rnacentral:sRNA from 1 species
CAGCUAAUUGAUUGGUUGUAUGGGUGUAUGGGCAUGUAUGGGUAUGAGUGAG